rnacentral:rRNA from 1 species
GCGUAAGCGCACGCAGGCGGUCUGUCAAGUCGGAUGUGAAAUCCCCGGGCUCAACCUGGGAACUGCAUUCGAAACUGGCAGGCUAGAGUCUUGUAGAGGGGGGUAGAAUUCCAGGUGUAGCGGUGAAAUGCGUAGAGAUCUGGAGGAAUACCGGUGGCGAAGGCGGCCCCCUGGACAAAGACUGACGCUCAGGUGCGAAAGCGUGGGGAGCAAACAGGAUUAGAUACCCUGGUAGUCCACGCCGUAAACGAUGUCGACUUGGAGGUUGUGCCCUUGAGGCGUGGCUUCCGGAGCUAACGCGUUAAGUCGACCGCCUGGGGAGUACGGCCGCAAGGUUAAAACUCAAAUGAAUUGACGGGGGCCCGCACAAGCGGUGGAGCAUGUGGUUUAAUUCGAUGCAACGCGAAGAACCUUACCUACUCUUGACAUCCAGAGAACUUUGCAGAGAUGGAUUGGUGCCUUCGGGAACUCUGAGACAGGUGCUGCAUGGCUGUCGUCAGCUCGUGUUGUGAAAUGUUGGGUUAAGUCCCGCAACGAGCGCAACCCUUAUCCUUUGUUGCCAGCGGUUAGGCCGGGAACUCAAAGGAGACUGCCAGUGAUAAACUGGAGGAAGGUGGGGAUGACGUCAAGUCAUCAUG